GGGGCCCCCUACUCACACAACACUUCCUUGCAAUCAAGAAGGUCCAUUCGCCCACACACGUACCCCCUGUCCGCCACUUGGGACCCUAUGUGGUGGUUACCGUCCUCCCCGCUGGUCCGGCGAGGGAGGCUUUUAGAUGCUCUUCUGAUGAAGCGGCUGUAGCCGCGAAACUAGUCAAGAGGCUCGAUAUGACUUUCAAACCCAUUAUGUUUUUCCCCCUUGUGGGGACUAUUAUACUGGUGCUAUGUUGGUCGUAGAUUGUUUGCAUUUUUUAACCCUGUACCUCCCUGUGUCUUUAUUGAUAUCUGUACCCAAUAAAAAUGUUUUUUAUUAUCUACUUGUUUCCUUGUACACUGUAUACCUAUGCUACUAGUACCGUGAUAGUCCAACAAUGGCCCACAACUCCCCCCUAGUUGGCUCUUUGAUUUGGGGACCUCUGAGCCAAUACUCUAUUUAUCUAGAUUCUGGAUGAUGGUACGCCCCCUUUAAAUGUUUAUUAAUUUGGUUUUUACCCUCAGAGGUUACAUAUC